AUGUUAGGGAUUAACAUAGCUUUGGCGAGGUCGGAUAACGGGCGGGAGCCAGCGGUGAAAGGGGUGGUGAAAGUGCCAGUUUGCCCCAGGCCGCCGAGGGGCCUCUUUAGAGAGGCCUUGCCUGUCCCCCUCGCGUCCGCCGGGGCCAAAAAGCCCCUCAAGCUGUCACUGGUACGGCCCUGGGCCAGGAGCCGUUUCGGGAUCUGUCAAACGAGUUUUCGCCGUUCGAGUCAGGUUGACGGUGGUCCUUCGUCCCCCCAUCUCCUGGACCUGGCGAGUCUGGCGCGUCCGGGUGAGUACUGGGGUGAACGGUGGUUUUGAGGGCUUCUUCCUCCUGUUUUAUCUGAUAAUUUGUUUUUCUCUUUGCGCAUCCUGUAUUUACUUUUGACACACUACAUUCAGGUAGAAACAUAAAGCUACUUUUUAGGUAUCUAGGGUGUGCUUAUUUCUCUAUGUGAAUAUAAACGUUUGUAGACCGCAAGUCUUUCUACUGAAGAAAAGCAAGAAUACUCAACUAGCUGUUCUUUUUAUCUGAACUUCCUAGGCCUGUACCUCCCCACAGAGCUUCAAAACAGGGGCUUAUAGGAAGAAGGAAUGGAGGCUUUGAAGUAAGUUGAACAUUGCAGGCGUGACACUUAAGGUUUAAAUGCUUGCUAAUACGUGUCCUAUAGAUAAAGACAUGUCCUUUUAAAACCAUAAUACUAUGAACCAAGAAAAUUUUAAAUGUUGUUAAUAUGUCCCCUGUGUAAAAAGAUACAUUUAUUCCAAUGUGUGCUUUUGAUUGUUUUGAAAUCUAAUAUGUAUCCAAGUUUUCAUGUCUUUUAGUCUCUUUAAAACUAGCAGACACUGUUUAUCGUUAUAUUGUCUUUUUGCGGUUAUAUUGUCUUUUUGCGGAGUCAUUCGUUCUUUCAGAAAGUUAUACAUUUUGGUAGUUCUGAUAGUAUUUUGUGCUGUGUUUAAAUGUAUCCUUCAUUUCUUGGUGUAUCCCGUAAAAGAAUGAGUGUCUGAAUGGUUAAUUAAAGCAUAGUAAAAAAAAUUCAGCCAAGGGCUGUUCUUAGGGAGGUUGUAAAGUAGGGGAGGAGGCUGUCAUGUAACCAAGCAAAUAAGUGUAUUACAAAUUGAUGAGGGUCUGUAAGUAAAGUAGAAGGCAGAAUUAUUUUCUCUAUUUUUCUUUGGAAUAGGCAAUGCUAAGAAAAGAGUGAUAUUCAAGCUGAGACCAAAAAAUAUGGUAUGAUUUAGCCAUGUUGAAGGGGAAGGAAAUAAGAGCUGGCCAAAGCAUUCUGUGAAUUGGCUGACUCCAUUUCUAGGGUGAGAGAGAGAGGAGUGCAUCACAGAUUACCCCAGGUUUGACAGAGUCAGUAUUCUUUCUUUGGUUGGGGAAACAAUGUGAUGGGAUAAUUUAAUCUUAAAUGUAUGACUGACAGGAAAAAGUAAGUGAUACCUUGUUUUUGGAGACAGAGUUUCGCUGUUGCUCAGGAUCCAGUGUAGUGGCAGGAUCUCGGCUCACUGUAACACUGUAACCUCCACCUCUCCAGUUUUCAAGCCAUCCUUCUGCCUUAGCCACCCUAGUAGCUGGGAUUACAAGUGUGCGCCACCAUGCCUGGCUAAUUUUUGUAUUUUCUUUUUUCUUUGUAGAGAUGGUUUCACCAUGUUGGCCAGGCUGGUCUUGGACUCCUGACCUCAAGUGAUCCACCCACCUUGGCUUCUCAAGGUGCUGGGAUUACAGGUGUAAGCCACUGUCGCUGGCCAAAGUAAGUGAUAUCUGACAAAUGAUGUAAAUCAAGGGAAAAUAGGAGAAGCAUGAAUGUGUUUUAAUUACAUGAAUAAGAAAUUAAUUCAAGAGAUUAAUGAGCAUCAGUGCUUGAGCAUUGAAAAAUAAGCUCUCCGUGAAAAUUCACUGAUGUUAAUUAUCAGUCUUAGGAAAUAUGUAUAUUCAUAAACAGACAAAACUUCUUUUGAUGUUGUUUUUUUUCAAUUCACUUUUGGGCUCUGUCUACCUAAAUUAGUCCUUCGUUUCCCUGAAGGAAUGUCCAGAAUAAGCACUCUGUGUGAUUCCUUACAGACACUCAUACACCUAGGGGGUUGGCUUGAUACACUCCAUGUAAGUAAAUGACCAGAAAACUCACCUGCCAAUGUGGGCUGCCAAAAAGCUGUGAAGGGGCCACGUGGCCUGGAAAUACAACAGAUCUUAGAAUAAUGUCUGUUAAUUAUAACAUCCAUGAGGGAAAAAAAAUCUAAUUCCGGUAGGACCACUCUAUAGAUUCUGCAUGUUAUUCCCAUGUCUGCAUGGGUUUUCUCUGGGCACUCUGGCUUCUUCCCACAUCCCAAAGAUGCACGUUAGCUUAAUUGGCGUGUCUAAAUCGUCCCCCUAUGAAUGUGUGUGUGUGUGCCCUGAGCUGUUAGGAUGGGCUCUGGCCAUUUUUAUCCUGGAACUGGAAUAGGUGGAUUGGAGAAUGAAUGAAUGAAUACAAACUAUUAUAAAAUAAAAAUUCCUAAAACGUUUGAGAAUGAUACA
ensembl:lncRNA